AACUCUCAUCCUUAAGCUUCUCUCUCUAAAACCUACGAAUUAUUGUAGCAUAUCAGUCCCUAAACAAAGCCCAACCAUCACAAACAACAAAUCAGAAGCAUCAAGAAGCCAGAAAUCAAAAAUCAAGCUUGAAAAGGUAGGAAAUCCUAAAUUCUAGAAAUCCUUCGAUUCGAUGUUAAUUGAUGCAAUUGAUUGUUUAAAGUAGUGUAAUAGAGAGUCUAUUAAUGUUCUGGGUUGUAAAAUCAUGAACCCAUAACAUCAAAGUGCACGAAUUUGAAGAUUUAAACAAGUUGGAAAAACCGAAUUCUGUUAUUUUUCACCAAAUGUCAGAGGCUAUAACUCUUUGGUCGAUCACGAGUUUUGUUGUUUAAAAGUUGUUAUAGGUAGCCUGAUAUGUGGUCUUUAAACUCCAAAAGGAAUCAGGUCUAUAUCUAUUGUAGAUCGGGAUUUAUAAGCGGUCAAAGUGGGUUGACCGGCAUUGACCGGCUGUUUUUCAAACCCAGAAAAUAUUCUAAGUGUCCAGAAAAUUUUUUUUUGGCAAAUGUCAGGCCUUAUAUCUCGGUCAUCUUUAAUGUGUUUUGUGUUCUAAAGGUUGAUAUGUGUAGCUUGUUAUGUGGUAUUUAACCUCCAAAAAGAAUCAGGUCCAUAUAUAUUACGGAUUAAGAGUUAUUUAAGGUCAAAGUGGGUUGACCGGCAUUGACCAGAAAAUUCUGGGCAGCCCAGAAUUUUCUAAGUGUUAAUUUUUCUGACAAGGUUUGACCAUACUUUAGAUGCUUGAUUUCUUGUUGUUAUGAUGAUGUUAAGUGUUAGAGUUGUAGUCCUACAUGUUGUCUACACACUGGAAUUGAUAGAUCACAUAAACGUUACACGAUCAUCAAGUUAUAGAGGUCCAAAGUAGGCACCUCGAACUGUUCUUCGUGAAGAACAGCUUUGGUAGCUACUUUGAUGGCUGAUUUAUCCCAGAUCUGAUGUUUGUUUAGAGGUUAUGAUUGUUGGAUCUUGUAGUCUUGUAUUUCCUCUACAAGACCCAAUUUAUAGAUUGUCCAAAUUCGUUAAGAUGAGAGAGUUAUUCACGGUCAAAGUAGGCCACUCGGUUCUGCCUUAUGAAGAUCUGGGUAGGCUCAAGAACACCUAUAGCGACACUUCUGUCACUAUAGGGGCCUUUAGCGACAGUUUUAAUUAUUUUAAUUUCUGAUUUUCCGGAAAUUAAUUUAAAAAUUAGAAAAAUUAGUUUUUAAUUAUUAAAAAUACCAAAUAAAUUAUGAAAAAUUAUUUUAAAGUCUGAAAAAUAGUUUUUAAUUAUUUUGAGUAUAUUUCAUAAAUAUUUAAUAUUUUUGAAAUAUAAAAGGUAUUUAUUUAUUUAAUUAUAAUAUUAAAUAAAUGAUUUAAAAAUAGUUUUAAUUCAUGAAAAAUCAUGAAAAAUUAUUUUAUGAUAUAAGAAAAUAUUUUGAGUUAUAAAAUAUAACUUUUAAUAUUUAGAAGAUAAUUUCAUUAAUAAUUAUAUAUUAAUGAUAUUUAGUUAAUGAUUUGUGAUAUUAAGUUUAUUUAAUAUUUAUAUUAAAUAAAUAGUUUAAAAAUGGUUUUAUUUAUUUAAAAAUCAUUUAAAGAGAAUAUUAAGGAUUUAAAAAUAUUUUAAGUUAUAAUUAAUGACUUUUAAUAUUUGGAUAAAUAGUACAUUAAUAUUUAUAUAUUAAUGAUGAUUAUUUAAAAAUGAUUUUAAUUGUUUUAAAAAUCAUUUAAGGAUAAAAUAAAUGUUUUAAAAAUAGUUUGAGUUAUUAUAAAUAACUUUUAUAUUUUGGCAAUGAUUUCAUUAAUAAUUUAAUAUUAAUUAAUUAUUAAUGAUAAUAGAAUUGUUUGAUGUUUAAGUCAUAUAAUUAUAAUUCCGAUGUUUGAAAGUGAUAUCCGGUCAAACUAGCUGACUAGAGAACCGGUUAUGAAGUCCAGGAUUUGGUGAAGAGCACCCAUAGUAACAGUUAUAUCACUAUAAGCCUUGAGUGACAGAUUUGAUUUAUUUUAAAUUUUUCAAUUUCUGGAAAAAUUCGAAAAUGAUUAAAAGUAAAAUGUCUGAUAUUUACAGAUGUUGAGGUAUAGAAUAAGAGUCUUAGACUCAGUAUGUACCCGAUAAAGCUGUCGGUACGCCGACAACUGUCGGACCUUAUAAUAGAAAGAAAAGGCUACUGUAAGAACAUGGAUGAGAUAUUUGAAAAAUGUAUAAAAGUAUAGAAUGUGAUGACAUAAUUAGACUAUGUACUGACCAUAAUUGACAGUACUAUGUGUUAUGAUUUAUGUUCUAAUCGGACGAAUGACCUGUUUAUUGAUAGGUUGUGAUAAAGAGAUAAGAUCUAAGUUGAGAUUUGUAAUCAGCAAAUCAGGCAAGUAUCCUACCUUUGCAUUUCCUUUAUGCAAUGGACAUGAGUAAGAAGUUUCAGAAUUAUUCUAUUCCUGUACAGAUUAUGUACGCUUUGAUUAUCAACAUGUUAGCUCAGAUAUAUAUUCUGUUAAGUUGAUUUCUAAAUGGUUAUACAAGUGUCCCCACUUGGAUAAUCAUGGCAUUUAUUCACAUGUUGAUAUACCAUGUCAAUUACCCGUAUACAUAUAUGUUGAAUUACAUAUUAUUGUUGAGCAAGAUUAAAAACCUUCGGGUUUGGAACCAGGCAUGUAUGAACAUCCCGAUAAUGGGAAAAUUUUUAUGCGCUUCGGCGGACAAAGGAUGAGCGAUGAAUGUCGUUCUAGUUAUGUAGUAUUGAUCAAUACAGGGUACAACGGGGCUGAUCACCCUCCGUGCCCGUAAGUUAUGACGGUUUGUGGAUGAAUUUCUGCUAAACCUUUUCGAAAAUGAAAAAGAAUGUUCAUAGUAUGUUUCUUAAACCCUAUUCAUGGGUAGAGCCUCAUUUCAAGAAUUUGAAAGAGAGUUGUUAUGUGAAUCUUUUAUCAGUACAGAUUACUUCACAACUUUUGAUUCGUUGUAGAAGUGUUAUGUAAAGGGAAUACUUAUAUUCUUUCAGCUUAUAUAUAUAAUUGCUAUUACUUGCUGGGCACUCAAAUGCUCAUCCUUGCUUAAAUCAAAUGUUUUCAGUUAUGUAUGAGCAACCUGAAGGCUCAGGCACGAACAAAGGAAAAGGAAAGCUGAUCGAAUAAGUGUGUAUUAUGAGUUAAUGGUUAUAGCUGUAUGGAUAUCUAUUCAAGUAUUGUAAGGAAUGUAUUUGAAGGUCUCGUACCUGGGAAGUAAACUUUGAUGUAUGUAAAUUAAGUUUGAAUGUAAUAUUACUACUGUAUUAUUCAGCUUAUAGAAAUGGUAUCGUGAAGCACUGAGUUCGGGUUUCAAGUAUCCGGAUUUGGGGGCGUCACAAUUACCGCUACGUAAUUUAAUUUAUUCUCUUUAUUGAAAAGACCUAUCAGGUAUAAGAUUGAUCUUUCAAUUAGCAUAUCAUACCUUAUUCCAUAAUACUAUCUAACACUUAAUCACAUAGUCACAUAUUAGAUAAUCUUAC
rnacentral:lncRNA from 1 species